UUCCCGAGCUUGUAUUGAUAGCAGGGUUUGAUAGCAAGGUGCAAGACAUUGCCCUUGGCUUUGCUGAACCUCGUGAGGUUCACAUGGGCCCACUGCUUGAGCCUAUCUAGAUCAUCUCUCUGGAUGGCAUCUCAUCCCUCGGGAGUGCCGACUGCACCACACAGUGUGGCGUCAUCCGCAAACUUACUGAAGGUGUGCUUGAUCCCACUGUUAAUGUCACUGAUGAAGAUGUUAAAGAGCACGCAUCCCAAAGCUGACCCCUGAUGGACACCACUCAUCACUGAUCUCCAUCCAGUCACUGAGCCAUUGACCACCACUAUCUGGGAUAUCCACACUCAGCCCUCUGAGUGGUUUAAAGGCUGAGACCUGGGACUCUUCAGCCUGGAGAAAACUGAGAGGUGAUCUUAUCAAUGCUUAUAAAUAUCAAAAGGGCACAACUCCAGUGGAUGGGGCCAGGCUCUUUUCGACAGUGCCUAGCAACAGAAUAAGGGCCAGUGGGCACAAACUGGAACACAGGAAGUUCCAUACAAACACAAGGAAAAACCUCUUUCCUCUGAAGGUGACAGAAUACUGGAACAGGCUGCCCAGAGAGGUUGUGGAGUCUCCUUCUUUGGAGAUAUUUACCUGGACACUUUCCUCUGCAACCUCCUCUAGGGAACCUCAUUCAGCAGGGACUUGGACUAGAUGAUCUCCAGAGGUCUCUUCCAACUUCUGUGGUUCUGUAAUUCUGUGACUGUGAUCGUCAUCCUAUUGAAAGAAAUAAAACUACUUCU
ensembl:lncRNA